UAUUGUGCAACAGUGGAGACCCUGAUCAAGCAGCGACGCGUGAAGAAAGAAGACGUACGGGUGUUAGACAUCUUCUAUCAGCGGGGAAGAAAAUGACGGUACCUGGAUAAAAAGCCCCGGCUAACUACGUGCCAGCAGCCGCGGUAAUACGUAGGGGGCAAGCGUUGUCCGGAUUUACUGGGUGUAAAGGGAGUGUAGGCGGAGAAGCAAGUCAGAUGUGAAAUCCUGGGGCUUAACCCGGGAACUGCAUUGGAAACUGUAUCCCUUGAGUAUCGGAGGGGCAGGCGGAAUUCCUAGUGUAGCGGUGAAAUGCGUAGAUAUUAGGAGGAACACCAGUGGCGAAGGCGGCUUACUGGACGACAACUGACGUUCAGGCGCGAAAGCGUGCGGAGCAACCAGGAUUAGAUGCCCUCCUACGGGAGGCAGCAGCAUAUAGC
rnacentral:rRNA from 1 species